rnacentral:rRNA from 1 species
UACGGAGGUGGCAAGCGUUGUUCGGAAUUACUGGGCGUAAAGGGCGCGUAGGCGGCUAGGCAAGUCAGAUGUGAAAGCCCCGGGCUUAACUCGGGAAUUGCAUCUGAAACUGCUGGGCUUGAGUUCUGGAGGGGGUAGUGGAAUUCCCAGUGUAGCGGUGAAAUGCGUAGAUAUUGGGAGGAACACCUGCGGCGAAGGCGGCUACCUGGACAGAAACUGACGCUGAGGCGCGAAAGCUAGGGGAGCGAACGGG